UGAAUCUUACGUGGCCAUGCAUAUGCAUGGCCACCUUUCAGGUUUCAGCUCUUCUUUUCUUGUAAGCGCACUUAGGGCUUGGCUAACUUGCCCUACAUGGCCUGUGGGAGUAACAACGUGACAUGAUGGUUGAAGCUGAAAAGGCACUUUUUGUUAGUCUAGUAACACACAAUUUGUCUGGCUCAAAACACUUUUGUUUUGUGCUAAACUGCUAAUGCCACUAGCUCCCAAUUGCCAUUAGAUAGAAAUUAGGAAUGUACCUCAGGUGUGAGGACUGAGGAGCAAUGGCAGAAUGGCUAGAUGCUGGACCACUUUGGUUGCUUGGCCCCCAUGAAGCACUGACCGGAUACUAGAUAACCCUUGCCCCAAAUCAUGCAUGAUAAUGACCACUGAAUGGUCCAUGGAAAAUUUGUACACCCACUUACUGGUCAUGGAGCCACAAAAUGUCACAGAAGUGUUUCUUUCACCAUCAUGAACAAUGCUUGAUCACCUUUAAAGCAGCCAAAUGCUGUC
rnacentral:sRNA from 1 species